GACGAACGCUGGCGGCGUGCCUAACACAUGCAAGUCGAACGGAAAGGCCCUGCUUUUGUGGGGUGCUCGAGUGGCGAACGGGCGAGUAACAUGUGAGUAACCUGCCCUUCACUUUGGGAUAACUUCAGGAAACUGGGGCUAAUACCGGAUAGGAGAUCCUGCUGCAUGGUGGGGUGUGGAUAGUUUCGGCGGUUUGGGAUGGACUCGCGGCUUAUGAGCUUGUUGGUGGGGUAGUGGCUUACCAAGGCCUUGACGGGUAGCCGGCCUGGGAGGGGGAACAGGCACAUGGGGGCUGAGAGAGGGAGCAGUAUGCAACGGUAGGCAGCAGGCGGGAGUAUUACAGAGUGGGGGGGAGUCAGUGACGACGACGUUGGGUGCGGAAAGACCGCCUUCGAGGUAAGAACCGCUGUCGACUAAGACGAAGCGUGAGUGACGGUACUGAAUAAGGAAGCAACGGCUAACUACGUG
rnacentral:rRNA from 1 species